UGCCUUACACAUGCAAGUCGAACGGCAGCGACGGGAGCAAUCCUGGUGGCGAGUGGCGAACGGGUGAGUAAUAUAUCGGAACGUGCCCGGUCGUGGGGGAUAACGUAGCGAAAGCUACGCUAAUACCGCAUACGAUCUACGGAUGAAAGCGGGGGAUCGCAAGACCUCGCGCGAUUGGAGCGGCCGAUAUCAGAUUAGGUAGUUGGUGAGGUAAAGGCUCACCAAGCCGACGAUCUGUAGCUGGUCUGAGAGGACGACCAGCCACACUGGGACUGAGACACGGCCCAGACUCCUACGGGAGGCAGCAGUGGGGAAUUUUGGACAAUGGGCGCAAGCCUGAUCCAGCAAUGCCGCGUGCAGGAUGAAGGCCUUCGGGUUGUAAACUGCUUUUGUACGGAACGAAACGGUGAGCUCUAGUACAGUUUGCUAAUGACGGUACCGUAAGAAUAAGCACCGGCUAACUACGUG
rnacentral:rRNA from 1 species